UUCUGGGAGGAUUGACAGAUUGAGAGCUCUUUCUUGAUUCUGUAAAUGGUGGUGCAUGUUCAUUCUUAGUUGGUGGAGCGAUUUGUCUGGUUAAUUCCGAUAACGAAAGAGACUCUAGUUUAUUAAAUAGGUGCGUGGUUCUCUGCACCUUGCACCCUUCUUAGAACAGGUCUGUGAUGCCCUUAGAU
rnacentral:rRNA from 1 species